UUUUUUUUUUGGUUCAUAAGUGUGAUUAUUGGAUCUGGUGCCAUUGGGACAUGCGACUCCAACAAACCUCAUUAUGUUGUUGGCACAUGACCAUCAGACG